rnacentral:rRNA from 1 species
GAUGAACGCUGGCGGCGUGCCUAAUACAUGCCAGUCGAGCGAACGGACGAGAAGCUUGCCUCUCUGAUGUUAGCGGCGGACGGGUGAGUAACACGUGGAUAACCUACCUAUAAGACUGGGAUAACUUCGGGAAACCGGAGCUAAUACCGGAUAAUAUUUUGAACCGCAUGGUUCAAAAGUGAAAGACGGUCUUGCUGUCACUUAUAGAUGGAUCCGCGCUGCAUUAGCUAGUUGGUAAGGUAACGGCUUACCAAGGCAACGAUGCAUAGCCGACCUGAGAGGGUGAUCGGCCACACUGGAACUGAGACACGGUCCAGACUCCUACGGGAGGCAGCAGUAGGGAAUCUUCCGCAAUGGGCGAAAGCCUGACGGAGCAACGCCGCGUGAGUGAUGAAGGUCUUCGGAUCGUAAAACUCUGUUAUUAGGGAAGAACAUAUGUGUAAGUAACUGUGCACAUCUUGACGGUACCUAAUCAGAAAGCCACGGCUAACUACGUG